rnacentral:rRNA from 1 species
AGGGUUUGAUCAUGGCUCAGAACGUACGCUGGCGGCACGCCUAACACAUGCAAGUCGAACGAAGUAGCAAUACUUAGUGGCAGACGGGUGAGUAACAUGUGGGUAUCUGCCCUUUGGCCUGGAAUAACACGAGGAAACUUGUGCUAAUACCGGAUAAGUCUUUACGGAGAAAGCUUUAUGCACCAUUGGAUGAGCCCGCACUUGAUUAGUUUGUUGGUAGGGUAAUGGCCUACCAAGACUGUGAUCAAUAGCUGAUUUGAGAGGAUGAUCAGCCACAUUGGGACUGAGACACGGCCCAAACUCCUACGGGAGGCAGCAGUGGGGAAUCUUGCACAAUGGAGGAAACUCUGAUGCAGCGAUGCCGCGUGAGUGAAGAAGGCCUUUGGGUUGUAAAGCUCUUUCGUCGGGGAAGAAAAUGACUGUACCCGAAUAAGAAGGUCCGGCUAACUUCGUGCCAGCAGCCGCGGUAAUACGAAGGGACCUAGCGUAGUUCGGAAUUACUGGGCUUAAAGAGUUCGUAGGUGGUUGAAAAAGUUGGUGGUGAAAUCCCAGAGCUUAACUCUGGAACUGCCAUCAAAACUUUUCAGCUAGAGUUUGAUAGAGGAAAGCAGAAUUUCUAGUGUAGAGGUGAAAUUCGUAGAUAUUAGAAAGAAUACCAAUUGCGAAGGCAGCUUUCUGGAUCAUUACUGACACUGAGGAACGAAAGCAUGGGUAGCGAAGAGGAUUAGAUACCCUCGUAGUCCAUGCCGUAAACGAUGUGUGUUAGACGUUGGAAAUUUAUUUUCAGUGUCGCAGCGAAAGCGAUAAACACACCGCCUGGGGAGUACGACCGCAAGGUUAAAACUCAAAUGAAUUGACGGGGACCCGCACAAGUAGUGGAGCAUGUGGUUUAAUUCGAAGAUACGCGCAGAACCUUACCAACACUUGACAUGUUCGUCGCGACUUUAAGAGAUUAAAGUUUUCGGUUCGGCCGGACGAAACACAGGUGCUGCAUGGCUGUCGUCAGCUCGUGUCGUGAGAUGUUGGGUUAAGUCCCGCAACGAGCGCAACCCUCACUUUUAGUUGCCAUCAUUGAGUUGGGCACUCUGAAAGAACUGCCAGUGAUAAGCUGGAGGAAGGUGGGGAUGACGUCAAGUCCUCAUGGCCCUUACGUGUUGGGCUACACACGUGCUACAAUGGUAUCUACAACAGGAAGCGAAACAGCGAUGUUAAGCAAAUCCUUAAAAGAUACCUCAGUUCGGAUUGCACUCUGCAACUCGAGUGCAUGAAGCUGGAAUUACUAGUAAUCGUGGAUCAGCGUGCCACGGUGAAUGCGUUCCCGGGUCUUGUACACACCGCCCGUCACACCAUGGGAGUUGGUUCUACCUUAAGGCAAGGUUUAAUACCCUUGACCACGGUAUAGUCAGCGACUGGGGUGAAGUCAUAACAAGGUAGCCGUA